AUUGGUAUUAACAUAUAUUAGUACUAUGACAAUGGACAAAAGGCAAAAGAAAACAGUGAUAAACAAUGUACAAAACUCACCAUGAUGUGAAGAAAAAAUAGAGAAGUUAUCUGGCUGAGGGGAGGCAAGAAUCAGGGCUCUCAAUUUCUAGAAAACUUGCAAGCAAAGUCUUACGAGAAGACUGUGGCUUUGAACCGCUCGAAGAUGAUAACUUGAGUUGAUUUUCUGUGCCUUUUUCAAUGCUAGAAGCAUCUUGUAUGGCCAAAAUGACCUCUUGCAUUUUUGGCCUGUAGGCACCGUGUUGUUCUACACAUUGCAUAGCAAUUUCAGCAACCCUCCAAAUUGAUUCAGUUUUGGCAUUCCCCACAAGGGAAGGGUCCAUAAUGCUUAUCACAUCUCCUUUACGAAUUAAGGAUCUUACCUGCAAAACACGUAAAUUUGCAUGUGGGGCUGCCAUCAAAGUAUUCAAAGAGGACCAUAGUCUUCUGAGGAUACAGGUUUUUUUCCUGAUAUCAGUUCCAACAGAACGACUCCAAAACUAUACACGUCACUUUUUUCAGUCAAUUGCUGAUUUGCGUAGUACCUGUUGAGGGGUAAAAAACCUGAGCUCAGUGUUUUAAGUAGAAAUGAUGUUUUGUUGAACAUAGACACGUGAGAACCAUGGCUUACUCAGGAUCCAGAUAACCUACAGUUCCC
rnacentral:sRNA from 1 species